AAAAACAAACAUAUCAAAAAAAUAAAAGUAAAAAAAGAAAGAAAGAAAGGGAGAGAAAAAACAAUCAGUACUGUUUUUUUUAGAAAUGUAGUAUUUCAAAUAUUCAUCUGUGAUAACUGCUACAACCAGAAGCACAUCGCUAACAUGGAUCUUCACGCUUAUUCUGCUUCGUUUUUCAGAAGGAUAAAAAGUAAUCGCCUUCAUUCCAAAACAAUGUAUUAAGUACUCAGAAUCAGGAGGGGCUAGCAGAGAUGUAAGACACGGCAUUUGUUCUUAAGAAGCUCGCAGUGGUAAAGGUGGAACACACGUUCGGGCACAUAUUUCUGCUACAAGGUGACAAAAGAACUGUGACUGAAGGGACACUGGUGGUGAGAUGUGGUCAGAGCAGUAGCAGCCACCUGAAAGCUGGAUGUUUGUAACUUACAGCCUCAACAUAUGUUAACAUUCAAGAGUAAUUGUCCUACUAUAUUUAGUAUUUACUGGCCUGACCCUUAAUUAACAAUUCCAUCCAAUUUGGAGAACUACAAAAUUGUGAGGUAUAGAAAACUUGGACGGAGUUUUGACAAGAACACUGAGAAAUGUUUGAAUUCAAUAGAGAUGACCCUGGGAGCCUUUGAGAGACAAUGGCCAAGGAAACAGAGCAGCUGGAUACUGGUACUUUCAAGCACCUCAUAGGAAGGUGUCUUCCUCUGUACAGAAGGGCCACAGUCAUUCGCCCUUCCAGAGCAGCUGGAGGACAGUCUGAAUUGAACACUUGCUUCAAGAAAGGUUUUCCUGUUUCAUAACAUUUAUAAGGGAUGCCCUGAAGAACUUUCUGCCACUUCUAUUUUCCUAUCAUAUUUGCUUUAGCAAUAUACAACCAGUAACCAAGAGGAAGUAGGACACUACAAAUAAGUAACAGGUCACUCAUCAAUCAACACCCACUGGAUAGCUAACUCUGUACAACCACCAGAUGAGGCCAGGCAGAGGAUCCAGAGAUGUCUACGACAUGGCUACCAGUCUUCUGGUGCUCCCCCACCAGCAGGGGACCAAGGUCAAUUAACUGUCCCAUCUGGCAUGGUAUUAGAGGUACUGUUAAGCAAGGCUAUAGGAAAAAUGCUUUGGUAUGGAAAGAAGAGAGGAAUUACUGCUCCAUAAACUGAAGUGGGAAGGGCAGAAUCUAGAUACGCAUAUAGAACAGACACAGGCAUUCUGAGCAGGAGGAAUAAAGUGGGCAAAGAAACAGCACCGUGGGGGCGAAAGAGACCAGAGAUUGUGUAGCCAAAUGGAGAAUUAAAAAAAGAAAGAGAGAAGAGUAGUUCUGUCAUCAAAAUGUCACUAAAAAUAAAAUGACAGUUUUCAGAAGUCAUGUGGGCCAUAAUAACAGUGAAGGCUAGUCAAUGACAGUCAUCUCUAAAGCUCUACACCCAAUUCACAAGCGACUGAUGCAUAAGCAGCUGACAGAGAAUAAUUCCUAAAGCUUCCUUUGUUUUUAUUUUCUCCCCAUGAAAGGGCUUCUUAGAAAUUCCAAAGGGAGAAUCAUUAAAUGGAUUACUGGUUCUUCUCUCCUAACCCAAAUAAAAAGGUAUGCCUGAAAACGGAA